AUUGAACGCUGGCGGCAUGCUUUACACAUGCAAGUCGAACGGUAACAGGCCGCAAGGUGCUGACGAGUGGCGAACGGGUGAGUAAUGCAUCGGAACGUGCCCAGUCGUGGGGGAUAACGCAGCGAAAGCUGUGCUAAUACCGCAUACGAUCUAUGGAUGAAAGCGGGGGACCGUAAGGCCUCGCGCGAUUGGAGCGGCCGAUGUCAGAUUAGGUAGUUGGUGGGGUAAAGGCUCACCAAGCCAACGAUCUGUAGCUGGCCUGAGAGGACGACCAGGCACACUGGGACUGAGACACGGCCCAGACUCCUACGGGAGGCAGCAGUGGGGAAUUUUGGACAAUGGGCGCAAGCCUGAUCCAGCAAUGCCGCGUGCAGGAAGAAGGCCUUCGGGUUGUAAACUGCUUUUGUACGGAACGAAAAGGUUUGGGUUAAUACCCUGGGCCGAUGACGGUACCGUAAGAAUAAGCACCGGCUAACUACGUGCCAGCCGCCGCGGUAAAAC
rnacentral:rRNA from 1 species